CUACGGGACGCAGCAGGCGAGAAAACUUUGCAAUGUGCGAAAGCACGACAAGGUUAAUCCGAGUGGUUUGUGCUAAACGAACCUUUUGACAGUCCUAGAAACACUGUUGAAUAAGGGGUGGGCAAGUUCUGGUGUCAGCCGCCGCGGUAAAACCAGCACCUCAAGUGGUCAGGAUGAUUAUUGGGCCUAAAGCAUCCGUAGCCGGCUCUGUAAGUUUUCGGUUAAACCUGUACGCUCAACGUACAGGCUGCCGGGAAUACUGCAGAGCUAGGGAGUGGGAGAGGUAGACGGUACUCGGUAGGAAGGGGUAAAAUCCUUUGAUCUAUUGAUGACCACCUGUGGCGAAGGCGGUCUACCAGAACACGUCCGACGGUGAGGGAUGAAAGCUGGGGGAGCAAACCGGAUUAGAUACCCGCGUAGUC
rnacentral:rRNA from 1 species